rnacentral:lncRNA from 1 species
AUGUUUAUUCUAGAAAAGAUCUUGGAGAAAGUAUUGAAGACAAUUGCUAACAAUGUCCCCUUCGAACAUUUUGAGUUUUUUUGUGAAAAGCUGCAGCUCCCGAGUUCUACCAUCAAAUCUAUUGAAAACAACAAGGGUCUUUCUUUAGAAGAGAUGGUGACUGAGGCAUUGAAGCAAUGGAAAACUGCACACCCAGAACUGACUUUUGAGGACAAAACAGUCCAGUUGAUUAGAAUACUCACAAUGGCUGGACUGUAUGACUUGACCAACAGAAUCAAAGCUAUAAGACUUUGUUCAAGAAUUGUGAAGUUCUGAAAAGUAAAUAACUUCAAGAAUUUUUCUUAGGGGGGGAGAGGAGUGCAUGCAAGCAAGAUGUGUAAAGUUAAUGUAUCAGAACUUAAUAUGUGUUACUUAACAUACCAUAAAUGCUUUCCUUUUUAAAAAAGCAGGCUGUGAUUUCUAACCAAGCCUUUUUUAUAAAUUCAGCCUUCAGCCUGAAAAUGUAUAAUUGAGAAAACUGAGUGGAGCUACAUAAAGAUUUUUAGCUGAUUCUAUUGGGCAAUUCCUAGGACCCAGGUAUCAUUUUAAGUAUCUAGUACAACCCCUUUUAAGACACAUAGUAUUUGUUUUGUUUUCCCUUUCUUUAUAUGAUUUAUGCACAAUAAAAAUUCCAAUCCCUUCUUCAUGCAUAUUGUCCCAUUAUUUAUAUAGAUAGCCAGAAAAAGCAGUCUGGCAGGGGUGGAUGAAAUAUUUUUUUCAUAUAUCUUCAGCCUGUAUAUCUUAAUAACAAGAGCACAAUCUCUAAUAGUUCCUGAAAUCACUUUUAGUGCAUUGUCUGUUCCACUCGCUUUGUUACCUAGAUACAAAGGACUCUGGACAGCAUCAUUCUAAUGAAAGGCCUAGUCAGCAACUCACUGUUCAGAAUAUGUUGUUCUCCUUAACACUGUUUCUCUGAUAAUUUCCAGCAAAUGUAAACAAACCUGAAUAAUGUGACCUAGGAAAACAGAAAUGGGCGUUGAAGUGUGCCUCCAAGUCACUUCUAACCUAUGGCAAUCUUAAGAGAGGCUUUCCUGGCAAGAUUUGUUCAGAAGAGGGUUGCUAUUCCCCUCCUCUUAGGCUGAGAUUGAGACUUGCCCAAGGUCACCAUGAGUUUCAUGGCUGAGCAGAUUGUGGUCUCCAGAUUCAUAGCUCAAUGGUCAAACCACUACACCAUACUGGUUCUCCUAAUCGUCCAUAUAUAUAAUCAAACAUGGUCUGAAUUUAACAUAUUCCCCUCAAGUUAAUAGAAGUGGAGACUAGGCUGUGUUCUUUUGGACUUGUAGAGUCAAGUAAAAUACAUUCCUUUCAAUCCUCUUAAAACUGAUUGGAACAAAAUAUUUUAGUGGAUAUGGGGCCUUUUGAGGAAUGAUGCACUAGAUCAUUUCUAAAAGUCGCAAUCCCAUGAAUUUCAUUGGAUUUCCUUAGGCUAGGACAUGGUUUUGCCAAUUCCUUCCUCUGAAAUAUAACCUGGAGCAAGGCUUUUAAAACUUUUUUUCAUUUGUGACACUUUCAACCUGAGAAAUAUUUAUUUAGCCCCAGAUAUAUAGGUAUAUAAAAUAGGUAUAAAAAUCAAGUAUUCACUGAUAACAAAUCAGCAUUUGCAAGCCUUGCUAAACAGACCGAUUUUCCUUUUUAUGAAGUACAACUAAAGCAUUUUCUGCAGAGUCCACUGUAAUCAUGACAGGUUUUUGCUAACAGAUUGGUGAAAAUGGGUUUGAUUGGAUUCCCCAUGACCUGAUCUGGCAAGCACUACGGUCACAUGGAAUACCAGAAGACUAUGUAACAUGGAUAAAACUACUAUACAAUAAUUUAUUUUAUUUAUCAUAUUUGUAUCUCGCCCAUCU